rnacentral:misc_RNA from 1 species
GAUGAAGAACGUAGCGAAAUGCGAUAAGUAAUGUGAAUUGCAGAAUUUAGUGAAUCAUCGAAUGUUUGAACGCACAUUGCGCCCGCCAGUAUUCUGGCGGGCAUGCCUGUUCGAGCGUCAUUUCAACCAUCAAGCCCCAGGCUUGUGUUGGGGACCUGCGGCUGCCGCAGGCCCUGAAAACCAGUGGCGGGCUCGCUGUCACACCGGGCGUAGUAGAUUUUAUCUCGCUCAGGGCGUGCUGCGGGUUCCGGCCGUUAAAAAGCCUUUUUUACCCAAGGUUGACCUCGGAUCAGGUAGGAAGACCCGCUGAACUUAAGCAUAUCAAUAAGCGGAGGA